CUCUCUCCUGUGCCUUGUGAAGAAAGUGCCUGCUUCGCCUUCACCUUCGGCCAUGAUUGUAAGUUUCCUGAGGCCUUCUCCGCCUGCAGAGCUUUUACUGAUUAUCAAAGAAGGACUGUGACUAAACUAGAAGGAGAAUUAACACUAUCCAGAGAUGGCUACAGUUCUGAAGGGAAACUUUGAGUCUCCACCUUUCCAAGAGUGGGGCACAGAUGUCGGAGCCAGACUGCCUGGACUCAAAUCUCAGAACCUGCAUUUAUUAGCUGUGUGACUUUGGAUAAUCCUCUCUCCACAACUUGAUAAUGCACAAACUGCAAAUCUUCUGGUACUCACUGCUGCAAGCAAACUUGAAGUCUUUCUGAGCCUGACUCUUCAUUCCUGCCUUGUGUGACCCAGGGAUGGAGGACUGCCCUCCCAACUCAUUAUCCUCUUUGCCCAGGAGCUUGUCCUAGAAACAACCACAUGCUGGAGAAUGGAAUUCCAUAAGGUACUCUCUUAGAUAAAGGAAGUGCCAGCCAUCCUGUUGCCAUCUGCUAAAAUCCUCAGCCCACCUGCAUAGUGAACAGCAUUCAUUGUUUUCCAGAAAUGUGCAAGAACCACAGUCUCCCCCAAGACUGAAGGUAACAUCAGGAAGCAUACUAUGUAAGACAGAUACAAAGGGGAGCUGCUGUAUGG
rnacentral:lncRNA from 1 species